rnacentral:rRNA from 1 species
GACGAACGCUGGCGGCGCGCUUAACACAUGCAAGUCGAGCGAAGCGGCGGACGGGUGAGUAACACGUGAUUAACCUGACUUAGAAAUUGGGAUAGCCUCGGGAAACCGGGAUUAAUACCAAAUGGUAUAAGAUGGACUCGCGUCCCAUUAGCUAGUUGGUGAGGUAACGGCCCACCAAGGCGACGAUGGGUAGCCGGCCUGAGAGGGUGAACGGCAACAUUGGAACUGAGAAACGGUCCAAACUCUGCGGGAGGCAGCAGUGGGGAAUAUUGCCCAAUGGAGGGAACUCUGAGGCAGCGAAGCCGCGUGAACGAAGAAGGCUUUCGAGUCGUAAAGUUCUUUUAUAUGGGAAGCGGUACCAGAAGAAAAAGCCCCGGAUAACUACGUGCCAGCAGCCGCGGUAAUUG